AAUUUAGCAUUUGCCAUGUGUCUAUUAAAUAAUUAAUGUAAGCUCUUCAACUUCUAAUUUAUAGGUUAAUGAUAUAUUUAUUAUUUAAUUUUAUAU
rnacentral:sRNA from 1 species